rnacentral:lncRNA from 1 species
GAGAUGGCCCAGCGAUGGUGUGGCACUGCAGUACUGCUGCUCAGUCCAGAAAUGAGAAACAGAGCUUGUAGGGUGGUUUCAUCUGUACCAUCUGUGGGCCAUAUUGCACAUCAGAUGGCAGGAUAAAAUCUGUAACAAGAACGUUUUGGGACAGAAAAGUCUUUCAGGGUUUGAAGCCUUGAUAUUCACAACACAAUUGCGCAGAGCCACUCAUGUAUCCAAAACAGAAGACGCAGAAUGCCAAAGCAGCUGCUGGAGUGAAAUAAAUGAGAGACCACACAAUUUGGACAACCUACAGAAACGUUAGUAUGGAUGUUUUAUUUGAUCCAACCUACCACAUCUUUGAUAUUAAACUUGGCCUGAAUGAAGCAUCUGGAUUCCACAGACUUGGUCUUCCCAUUGUUAAAAGCUGAUUGCAAACUUUGCUUUGACUUCCUUUGUUGGGGCUAAAGCG